rnacentral:rRNA from 1 species
UACAGAGGGUGCGAGCGUUUAAUCGGAAUUACUGGGCGUAAAGCGCGCGUAGGCGGCUUUGCAAGCCGGAUGUGAAAUCCCCGGGCUUAACCUGGGAACUGCAUUCGGGACUGCAUUGCUAGAGUAUGGGAGAGGGAAGUGGAAUUUCAGGUGUAGCGGUGAAAUGCGUAGAUAUCUGAAGGAACAUCAGUGGCGAAAGCGACUUCCUGGACCAAUACUGACGCUCAUGUGCGAAAGCGUGGGGAGCAAACAGGG